rnacentral:rRNA from 1 species
GUGGUAUGAGAUGGACCCGCGUCUGAUUAGCUGGUUGGCGGGGUAACGGCCCACCAAGGCGACGAUCAGUAGCCGACCUGAGAGGGUGGCCGGCCACAUUGGGACUGAGACACGGCCCAAACUCCUACGGGAGGCAGCAGUGGGGAAUAUUGCACAAUGGGGGAAACCCUGAUGCAGCAACGCCGCGUGAGUGAAGAAGUAUUUCGGUAUGUAAAGCUCUAUCAGCAGGGAAGAAAAAAGACGGUACCUGACUAAGAAGCCCCGGCUAACUACGUGCCAGCAGCCGCGGUAAUACGUAGGGGGCAAGCGUUAUCCGGAUUUACUGGGUGUAAAGGGAGCGUAGACGGCAUAGCAAGUCUGAAGUGAAAGCCCGUGGCUCAACCGCGGAACUGCUUUGGAAACUGUUAAGCUGGAGUACUGGAGAGGCAAGCGGAAUUCCUAGUGUAGCGGUGAAAUGCGUAGAUAUUAGGAGGAACACCAGUGGCGAAGGCGGCUUGCUGGACAGAGACUGACGUUGAGGCUCGAAAGCGUGGGGAGCAAACAGGAUUAGAUACCCUGGUAGUCCACGCGGU